CACAGAUAAUAUACAGGCAAUAACAAGCAAUAACAGGUAAUAACAGGUAAUAUCAGGUAAGACACAUAUAAUACACAGGCAAUAACAGGUAAUAAACAGGCAAUAACAGGUAAGACACAGAUAAUAUACAGGCAAUAACAGGUAAUAACAGGUAAGACACAUAUAAUACACAGGUAAUAAACAGGCAAUAAACAGGCAAUAUCAGGUCAUAAACAGACAAUAACAGGUAAGACACAGAUAAUUUACAGGCAAUAACAGGUAAUAACAGGUAAUAACAGGUAAGACACACAUAAUUACAGGCAAUAAGAGGCAAUAACAGGUAAUACAGGCAAUAACAGGUAAUAA
rnacentral:lncRNA from 13 species